rnacentral:rRNA from 1 species
GUGUCAGCAGCCGCGGUAAUACGGAGUGUGCAAGCGUUAUCCGGAUUCAUUGGGUUUAAAGGGUGCGCAGGCGGGCUUGUAAGUCAGUGGUGAAAUCUUGCCGCUUAAUGGUAAAAUUGCCAUUGAUACUGCAGGUCUUGAGUAUGGUUGAGGUAGGUGGAAUGUGUUGUGUAGCGGUGAAAUGCAUAGAUAUGACACAGAACGCCGAUUGCGAAGGCAACUUACUAAGCCAUUACUGACGCUGAGGCACGAAAGCGUGGGGAGCGAACAGGAUUAGAUACCCCGGUAGUCC